GACAGAGGGUGCGAACGUUGCUCGGAAUUACUGGGCGUAAAGCGUGCGUAGGCGGUUCGUUAAGUUCGUCGUGAAAGCCCCGGGCUCAACCUGGGAAUGGCGAUGGAAACUGGCGGGCUGGAGUAUGGCAGAGGGAGGUGGAAUUCCACGUGUAGCAGUGAAAUGCGUAGAGAUGUGGAGGAACACCGAUGGCGAAGGCAGCCUCCUGGGCCAGCACUGACGCUCAUGCACGAAAGCGUGGGGAGCAAACAGG
rnacentral:rRNA from 1 species